AGAGUUUGAUCCUGGCUCAGGAUGAACGCCCUUUGUGUGCCUAAUACAUGCAAGUCGUACGCACUGGCCCAACUGAUUGAUGGUGCUUGCACCUGAUUGACGAUGGAUCACCAGUGAGUGGCGGACGGGUGAGUAACACGUAGGUAACCUGACUCGGAGCGGGGGAUAACAUUUGGAAACAGAUGCUAAUACCGCAUAACAACAAAAGCCACAUGGCUUUUGUUUGAAAGAUGGCUUUGGCUAUCACUCUGGGAUGGACCUGCGGUGCAUUAGCUAGUUGGUAAGGUAACGGCUUACCAAGGCAAUGAUGCAUAGCCGAGUUGAGAGACUGAUCGGCCACAAUGGAACUGAGACACGGUCCAUACUCCUACGGGAGGCAGCAGUAGGGAAUCUUCCACAAUGGGCGCAAGCCUGAUGGAGCAACACCGCGUGAGUGAAGAAGGGUUUCGGCUCGUAAAGCUCUGUUGUUGGAGAAGAACGUGCGUGAGAGUAACUGUUCACGCAGUGACGGUAUCCAACCAGAAAGUCACGGCUAACUACGUGCCAGCAGCCGCGGUAAUACGUAGGUGGCAAGCGUUAUCCGGAUUUAUUGGGCGUAAAGCGAGCGCAGGCGGUUGCUUAGGUCUGAUGUGAAAGCCUUCGGCUUAACCGAAGAAGUGCAUCGGAAACCGGGCGACUUGAGUGCAGAAGAGGACAGUGGAACUCCAUGUGUAGCGGUGGAAUGCGUAGAUAUAUGGAAGAACACCAGUGGCGAAGGCGGCUGUCUGGUCUGCAACUGACGCUGAGGCUCGAAAGCAUGGGUAGCGAACAGGAUUAGAUACCCUGGUAGUCCAUGCCGUAAACGAUGAGUG
rnacentral:rRNA from 1 species